AGUGAACGCUGGCGGUAGGCCUAACACAUGCAAGUCGAACGGCAGCACAGUAAGAGCUUGCUCUUACGGGUGGCGAGUGGCGGACGGGUGAGGAAUACAUCGGCAUCUACUUUUUCGUGGGGGAUAACGUAGGGAAACUUACGCUAAUACCGCAUACGACCUACGGGUGAAAGCAGGGGAUCUUCGGACCUUGCGCGAUUGAAUGAGCCGAUGUCGGAUUAGCUAGUUGGCGGGGUAAAGGCCCACCAAGGCGACGAUCCGUAGCUGGUCUGAGAGGAUGAUCAGCCACGCUGGAACUGAGACACGGUCCAGACUCCUACGGGAGGCAGCAGUGGGGAAUAUUGGACAAUGGGCGCAAGCCUGAUCCAGCCAUACCGCGUGGGUGAAGAAGGCCUUCGGGUUGUAAAGCCCUUUUGUUGGGAAAGAAAAGCAGCAGGUUAAUACCCCGCUGUUCUGACGGUACCCAAAGAAUAGGCACCGGCUAACUUCGUG
rnacentral:rRNA from 1 species